rnacentral:rRNA from 1 species
UACGGAGGAUGCGAGCGUUAUCCGGAUUUAUUGGGUUUAAAGGGUGCAUAGGCGGAUUUUUAAGUCAGCGGUAAAAUGUCCGGGCUCAACCCGGGCCGGCCGUUGAAACUAGGGAUCUUGAGUGGGCGAGAAGUAUGCGGAAUGCGUGGUGUAGCGGUGAAAUGCAUAGAUAUCACGCAGAACUCCGAUUGCGAAGGCAGCAUACCGGCGCCCGACUGACGCUGAGGCACGAAAGCGUGGGGAUCGAACAGG